rnacentral:lncRNA from 13 species
UUCCUAUUCAUUCUUUUCAUUCGUGAUUGCGUUGAGUAAAAGUACGGGGCCUAACGGUACGCUCCUUCGUAAGGUACCGCGUAUCCUCGGUGCGAUACGUAAAGUAAGGCGGGCACUUUCGAAUUGCAUAACCGCGGCCCGCGCCUUCAUUCGGUUAUGUCAGAAGAAAGCUGUCGAGAGCUGCCUGUCUGGGAAACGUAGGUACGGUUGUAGAUACACACCACGUACACACAUGCGCGUGUGUACGGCGCUCGCACGCUCUGCGUCUGCUUCUCUUUAAACACGUUAUAAAUAAACGCACCAGUUUCUUGGCUGGCGGGGCACCCGAACGUCCUACUCAUCGAAACGACGAGGGCACGGCUCCUCCGUACAAAUAUUGUACAUCUCAGAAUUUCCAAAUUGAGCAAGUUACCGAUCAGAUUACCGGUUACAUUAAUUAUCUCAGACGCGUUUGAAAAAUCCCACCGGACAUCUCCGUAAAAAGAGAGAACGAAGGCAACUCUAGGUACGAUGAAAGAAUUUCGAUCCAGCAUAAGACAAUCAAUAGUUCCUGGCUUCAAAGCACUAUUUUAAUUGGUUUCCUGAAGAAGACGUAAAAAAUAUAUUAUACAAUGCGUCUUUAAAUGAAAAUCUAGAUCUCUAUAUCGGGGCGUCUACAAUACACGUGUAGACACUUGAAUUUUAAACUGGACUCUACUUACAAUGCGUCCGCUGCAUCGUAAAAGAAAGAAAGAUGAUCGGUACAGAAGAUCCAAGAAUUACAGAUCGGCGACGCGAUCCACUCUCCCGUUUCCGGCGACGCGAAGAAAAUUGCUCAACGGCGCCCCGUCGAUGCGUGUGGAUGAUAAGCAUCCGCGACCAUUCCGUUUCUCCUCUUUAUCAGACGAAACUUCAGACGCGGUUACCUACGCAGGCGUUUCAAUUUCCGAAUGACCCAAUUUCGCAAUGCGGCGUCGCGUAUGCGUACACGCAUGUGCACGCGCGUGCAAUUGCUUCAGGCGCCGCGGCUAAUCCUCCACAUUCCUCGAUAUUGUCCACGUGCUCGUCCGAUAACGGAGCGACGUCUUAGGAGACGUUACAAACAAAGCAGAUAGGAUAUUAUUUCGGGAUUUCCGAGCGAAAUUUCUGACGAACUUUAAAUCCAUUUCGCAAAAUGGACAUUUCGCAAAAUAUCAUUUUCAUUUAGCAAAAAAAAAA